rnacentral:rRNA from 1 species
UGCCCCACAGUUCCCCAUGCGGGAACAAGGAGCCGGUAUCAGGCACAACUACUAGCCCAUGACGCCUUGCUUAGCCACACCCUCAAGGGAACUCAGCAGUGAUAAACAUUAAGCCAUAAGUGAAAACUUGACUUAGUUAAGGUUAAGAGGGCCGGUAAAACUCGUGCCAGCCACCGCGGUUAUACGAGAGGCCCAAGUUGAUAGCCACCGGCGUAAAGCGUGGUUAAGUUUAAACUCAUACUAAAGCCAAACAUCUUCAAGACUGUUAUACGUAGCCGAAGACAGGAAGUUCAACCACGAAAGUGGCUUUAUCUAAUCUGAACCCACGAAAGCUAAGGAACAAACUGGGAUUAGAUACCCCACUAUGCCUAGCCCUAAACAUUGGUAGUACAACACACCCACUACCCGCCCGGGAACUACGAGCAAUAGCUUAAAACCCAAAGGACUUGGCGGUGCUUUAGAUCCACCUAGAGGAGCCUGUUCUAGAACCGAUAACCCCCGUUCAACCUCACCCUUCCUUGUUUAUCCCGCCUAUAUACCGCCGUCGCCAGCUUACCCUGUGAAGGAUGAAUAGUAAGCAAAACUGGCAUAGCCUAAAACGUCAGGUCGAGGUGUAGCGUAUGGAGGGGGAAGAAAUGGGCUACAUUCGCUAUCACAGCGAACACGAAAGAUGCACUGAAAUAACCAUCUGAAGGAGGAUUUAGCAGUAAGCAG